ensembl:lncRNA
UUUUAUUGGUACAUUGUAGGUAUACAACACAAUUACAUUUCUCAUUGGGAAUUGUACCUUUACAUAAUGCAUCUUGGUUCUUAUUUUUUCCCCAUUCCUACCCUCCCUUCACGCCCUCCACCCUUCCCUAUUUACAAAGACUUUAUUUCCAUUUUUUCCAUUUCUCAGCAUUUUUCCUUUCCCCUGACCCUCCCACUACCCCAACCCCUUUGGACCUUUUCUUCCUAUUUUACAUUAUCGAUUAUUCAUUCUAAUCAUUGGUACAUUUUAGGUAUACAAUAUAAUGACAUUCAUCAUUGGAAAUUUGCACCUCUACAUAGUCUCUCUUGGUUCUUAUUUUUCACCCUUGCCCAGCCCUCCCUUCAAGCCCUCCAGUCCUCCCUAUUUACAAAGAUUUUGUUCCUAUUUUUCCAUUUUCUCAUAUUAAUCCCAUUCCCUUCUAUCCUUUCCCCUAGCCCUCCCACUUCCUUCCCCUUUGCCCCUUUUCUUCCUAUUUCACAUGACCUAUUAUACAUUUAGUCCUUAUUUACACUUUCAGUUUCUCACACCAGAGAAACUAUUCGGUAUUUACACAUGUACCACGCUAUUUUUAAAAGAAUCACCCGAAGUGACUCUUACAGAUUGCCUAUUUCUGUCUCCGGACUAGUACUUGUAACAGGCAGCCAAGGACCGAGAAGGGCUCCAGCAAACUUUAAUAAUCUUUAACUCUAGGCAAGGGCGCGCGAGCGCCGUGGAGGGAAGGGGAUAACCACACCUCCUGUGUUUGCUAAGGUUGGGGCGUACAGCUUGGUGCAAGUAGCCCGGGCAUCGGAAUAUAACGGAUGUGGACUUCGCCACGCAUUUGGUACCUGUACUCUGUGAGGCAAAUUACUUUCUCUGAGCAUUGGCUUUCUGGUCUUGAAACCGAGAAUAAUACCAUAGUUCCUACCUCGUGUAAAUUGUUCCUCUGCUUGAGCCAGGCGUGGUGGCGCACGCCUGUAAUCCCAGCACUCGGGAGGCUGAGCUAGGAGGAUCACUGUGAGUCCAAGGCCAGCCUGAACUACAGAGUGAAACCCUGUCCAAAAAAAAAAAAAAAAAAUUGUUACGCGGCUAAGUGGGAUAGCUUCUGUUAAGCGCUGGCGAUCGGCAAGAGCUCUAUACACUGGAGGGUUGUGUCCACAUACAGGGUCUCAGAGCCACAUUCGGCUGAUUGGAGAUUUGUAAAACGUUUUUUUCUUUUCACCUGAACUGGACCCCAAUUUUGUUUACCUCCAAUUGCAGAUUAAAUGCCUGUCGCCGAAUAGGUUUCUGUGGAUUUGCCAGCCCGCAGCUGAAGUUUACCUUCACCGCUGUACAAAGACGCGGCACGCACGCGCAAGAAAAUGGGCAAGUGAACUGCCAAAGAAGUGAACAGCCAUGAUUCUGCGCAUGUGCAAGGCAUGGCGGGUGGGUCUGCGCAUGCGUAAACGCAGGGACAGCAAGAGGGUGGGGGUUAAGAGGCGGUAUUGACAGCUGUGGAAGCAGCCCGCGUUCCCGGCAUGCUCCAGGGCGGCGGGGUUGGCUCUAACGAAUUUGAAUGAGGAGCCUCAGCGCUUUCGGCGCCAUUUUCGAGUGAUGCCUGAUCUCAUCAAUCUAGCGGGAGAGACGGGAUAACCUGUCCGAGAGUAUAGCACCACUAAGACCACGCCGAAAAAUCACUAAAAAAAUCACCAAAAAUAACUUACAGGAAAGAGCAGGCCGCGGAACUUGGCCAGCGUUGGCGCAGUCGGUUUUGACCUUUAAGAGAGCCAAUUCUGGAAAACAACCAAACUUCUUUGAUUGAAUACUCACAUGCGUUGGAACAUGAUUAGGAGAUUAAGGUAUCUUUCACUUGGCCUUAAUGAGUUAAAUGAAGAAAAAGAAACACCAUGAGUUAUAUUGUUUAAUAAUAAAAUGAAGACCAUAGUAAAACAGCCUCCUUCUUAGCCCAGCAAUUCUUAUUUUUCAAUCAGACUUGAAAGAAGAGAUUGAAGGCAUAGUGGCACUUUGAUAUUUCCAAUGGAGCAGGAUACAAGAAUGAAGAAAUGGCACAGGAUAUACCAGGAAAAGAUUGCCACAUAGCUAGUCCGGUUUGAAUGAAAAGAUAAGUAUGAAAGUUAAAUCAACUGUUCACUCAGCAUAGUACUCAAUAUUAAGAACAGUUGUCUAUGUUCAAAAGUUUGUAGUGAGUGCAAAUUAAGUAUUAGCUAGAAAAUUUGAAAUGUAAAUCCAUCAGAGAUAAUAGAUUUAAAUUGUUCCUGGGCUGGGGAUUUAGCUCAGUGGUUCCACUACCUGCCUACAAGUGCAAGGUCCCGAGUUCGAUCCCUGGUACCAAAAAAAAAAGAAAUAGUAAAAAAAUAAAUUGUUCUUUAAAGUAGAGAUAAAUACAAAGGGGAUUAAUAGGUAUUUUAACCUCCAAAAGUAGCCUUAUUGAAAAAUCAAAGUUUGAGUAGGCAUCGAUACAGAUUAGGGGAGAAAAGAACUAGAAAAUAAUUCGUUGUAAGCAUCUCCAUUCUUCAGGGUGCCUUGAAGAGUCAUGCACUCAGAGAGGAUAAUCACUGCAUUGAAAAUGAUUAUAAUUUAUUUGUUCUACUUGCUACUUACCUGGUGACCAGAGGAGUAUCAUGCUUGGUCAGUCUUGCUAUCCAUUUACAACUAUUUUAUUAUGCUAAGAGCUCUUUCUUAAUAUAUAAUCACCAUACUUACAACGCACUAACAUAAUAAUCCCUUGCUAUAGUCAUACCAGUUUCUUUUGAACUCCUGAUUGUUUCAGAAAAAUGAACCUUCCAUUUGGAUUUAUUUUUCUUUUCUACAUAAUCUCACUAAGUUUCCCAGGCUGGUCGCCAAACUUGGGAUCUUCCUGAAUAGCUGGAAUUACAGCCAUGUGCCAUACAUAUUGCAUUCGGUUUUCAUGAUUCUUAAAAGAGAACUUUUAAAUGGAGUGAUAGUGUUUCCAUUGGAGAGAGAUGAAAUUGGAUAGAUUCUGAUUAUAUAGUCCUUGAUACUUUGGCAAAAAAAAAAUAUAUAUAUAUAUAGGCUGUACUUAGAAAAUCAGGUACAGAAUGUGAAAAUGUGAAUUUUAGGAAGUUUCUAUGACUAAACAUAGAGGCCAGCUGAAAAUGCAUUGUAGCUUAUAAGGUACUUAGGCCUAAUUUAAAAGUAUAAAAUUAACAGUGUCAAACCAGUAGUUGAACUGAAAUCUCAAAACAGAUCAAUUGGUUUUGCUGGCUAAUUGAAUACAAGAAAUGAUUAGCACAGGACAAAAACUGAAUGUGAAGAGAGGAUGACAGUGGGCAAGUUUUCCUAGUUAGGACACAAAAGGGAACAAAAGAAAGUACCUGUGAUAAAAAUGUGAUGGUAAAUAGCAUAUUAUGUUCUUAUCAAAUGGCACUUCUUGACUGAACAGUAUGUUCAUAAUUUAGUCAUGUCUGAGAAGUAAAAAGUCAUCAAAACUGUUUUUAAGCCGGGGAUUUAGGUCAGUGGUUCCGCCGCCUGCCUCGCAAGCACAAGGUCCCGAGUUCAAUCCCCUGUACAAAAAAAAAAAAAAAUGUUUUUAAAUAUAUGUUUGUCUUCUAAGUAGUUUUAACUUUGUAUAUAAGGAAACUUAAGAAAUCAAAGUGAUAACUUUAUUUGGAGCUUAUGUCUGUAAACUUUCUGGAAUAAACCCUUGAUUGAAAUCCACUUCAUAAUUAGUUUUUAAACCAUCAUUCAUUGUUCAUUUCUCCAGAAGAAAUCAAAGGGGGUGUAGAAAUACAAUGUAAAACCUUGUAUUUAGUAAAACUCAAAAUCUACGUUAUUUUUUGGAUUAUGUCUGAACAUUAUUUUACUGCAUGCCUGUAUGCUCAACACUGAAUUUUAAAAGAACUUUCUCUAUUUAAUCCAGGCUCUGUUCUGUUUUUUGUUUGUUUGGACGGUUGGUUAUCUUUUUUUUAUCAUUUUUUAUUUUGAGACAGGGCCUCACUAAAUUUCCCAGGUUACACUAGAACUUGGAAUGUUCCUACCUCAGCCACCCCAAGUGCUGGGAGUACAGGUGUGGUACUGCUGUGCCCAGCUACAUAGCCUUUUUAUUUUUAAGCAUUUAUAUCUAAGAAGCAAAAGAAAAUUUUAAUAUGAUCCUGUAAAGUUUAUUUGGACAUUUAUAAUAGAAUAAUGAAAAAAUUACCAUAUUAGUGAAAUUGUUUUAGCUAUGCCUCCUUAGAUCCUUCCUUAAAGAUACAUAUAAGAGCUUUUAAAUUUUUCUUUUCGGAUAUAUUACUGACAUAUCACUUGAACAUUAUUCCAUAUAUAUCCCCUGCCCCCACCAUACAUGUGUCUUUUUUUUUUUUUUUCAUUUUGCUGUACUGGGAAUUGAACUCAUGGACAUUCUACCACUAAGAUACAUGCCUAGCCCUUUUAUUUUGUGACAAGUUCUUGCUAAAUUACUCUGGCUAGGCUCAAAGCUUGGGAUUCUCCUCUAAAUUAUCUGGGAUUACAGGCAUACACCACUGUGCCUGGCAAUCCACUCUUAAGCAAAGAUAAUCAUUCUGUGUUUCAGUGGCUAUACAUAGUGAGUAUAGAGGAACACAGUAUAAAGCUUCACAGGCAAAAUGUGAAGCAUGUUGAGUAGUAAUCACUAUUAUUGUGUUGAUGCUAAAUUGAGUAAAAUUAAGUAUUCAAAUUAAUAUAGUGACAUACAACCAUAUGUCAAACUAGCAGGAAAAUCUUCAUGCCAUGUAUUAGCACCUGAAUAUCCUUGUUAAGUGACAGUGGAGACAGUUUAGUUUAAACUUGUAGAUCCAAAAGAAACUUAUUAAAAUAGUCCCUUAUUGAGGCAUAGAAUGAAACUACCUUUGAUAACUAUAAUGCUAGAAGAUAAAUAGAAAGGAAAAAAAAUUAAACCUUACCACACUGGGAAGAGAUUACUAUUGCUGUUGCACACUAGAAAGAAAUGUACCUUCCAGUCUGCCUGAAAUUCCUCCACUGAACCUUUCACUUUGUUAAUACCUUUAAAUAAAAAAUUUCCACAUUUUUCAAGAGUAGGAACGAAUUUUUUUCUAAUAGUUUAUGGUUUUCAAAUAAAAGUUAUUUUAACUAUCUCAGUUAAAAAUUGAAGUUAAAUUUAAAUAGGAGAAAAUCUUUCUCUGAGGUUGUUAAAACAAAAUUAUAGUAUUACAAUGUUUUAUUAAUAUUUUUGAAGAAGCUUAAAAUUCUUUAAUGUAAUUGAAAGAAACAAAUAAAUGUUAUUUCUCAAGUCAUUGCAAUAGAUCUAUCUUGGCUACAUGUUACAAACUGCUAUCUGGGGGUAGUGGCACACACUAGUAAUCCCAGAUAAUUGGGAAGCUGAGGCAGGAGGAUCCCAAGCUUGAGGCCAUCUUGGUCAACUUAGUAAAACUUUGUCUCAAAAUAAAGAGGGCUGGGAAUAUAGUUCAGCAGUUGAAUCCCUUCUUUUGAAGCCUUUGUGCCAUAAAUACAUAUAUACAUACUGAAACUUGACAGUAGUAGAGAAAUAUGUGAAGCACUGGUUGCUCAGAUACAGGAAUAGCUAUAUGUACUUUUUUUUUUGUACCGGAAAUCGAACUCGGGACCUUACACUUGCAAGGCAGGCACCAGAACCACUGAGCUAAAUCCCCAGCCCUAUAUGUACUUUUUAAUAAAGAGGAAAGUACAAUACAUUAAUGUGGAAUUCUAUGUCUGUGCCUUGUAUAAAUAAUUAGAUAUACUAGAAGGACAAAUUUUGUUGCUUUGGUUAUACAUAUCAUCUUUUUAUACUAUAAUAGAAAUAGUGAAGAUUUUUAAAAGCCAUUUUAAUAAGAAAGCUGAGACAAAAAUGGUUGUUGAGCUUUGAGCUAGAGUAGUGAUGGUUUUCUGGUUUCUUUUGGAGAGAGGUCAUUUCUACAUCUAAGUGGAAACAAGGAGUGUACUCCCUUUCCUGCUGAAUAGAUUGAAUGGGAUAGACAAGACAUAGGAAGAAUGAGAGGCAUAGACUUUCUCUCUUUCGUAUUUCCUUUCACAAUAUUAACGUAUCAUUCCAAGGCUUCAUAAUCUAGAUAUGUAACUCAGAAUAACCAUUCUAAUGGAGAUAAAUGUUUAGAGUUAAUAUGUAGAUUUUUAUAACAUCUAAGGGAAAAUUGAUUUGUUUAAAGCUUUUGUAUAUUUUUACUACAUUUUGUAUUAAUAUAUUUCAUGUGGCUUCUGGUCUAUUUCUUUAAAAAUACAUUUGCAUUUUGCUAGCCUAAGUUUAUUGAAACUGUACUCUUGUAUUUCAUUUCAUGUUUUUCCCUUGAUAUAAAGUCUUACCUGUCUUGAUGAAGAUGUCUUUUGAGAUGUAUACAAGGAACAAAAUGCUCUUUGUAAAUUCUGCUCUUAAUAAGGUAAAAACAGUUUUUAUGAAUUCUCUUUUGCUUAUAAAAGGGAAAAAUAAUACAUUCAUAAAUUUAAAUGUUUACUUGUAUUGCCUUAAGUUGGCACAAGGAAAAUGUACUUUUCUUUUCCUGUUAAUCAUCUGUUUCCUAAUUUAGAGCACUAUAUUGAACACAUAGUAGGCUUUCUUAAGUUUUUGAUCCAGAAAUAAAUUCUACUUAAAAGCUUCUAAAAAUAAUUAUGGCCAUAUAUCACUGUUAAAAUCUUUAAACAUGGGGUUUUAAAAUAUAUAGUUUUUUUUCUAAAGAGAAAUUUUUUAUUCUUUAGGUACUAAUGUAUUUUAAAAAAAAAAAAAACAAACCAAAACCUUGGAGUAAAGUAGCAGCACAUAAUGGUUUGUGGAUUUUGAAAAGGUGCAGGCCAUAUUGUGCUGCCUCAAAAAUACAAGGAUCUGAUCUUCUGAAGAAAAUAUAUUUCUUUUGUUCAUAGCUCUUAUGAUAGCAAUGUCAGCAGUGCC